ACAGAAUUGUUGAAUCACUACAUUGUAUACCUGAAACUAGUAUAAUACUAUGUUAACUGCCCUGGAAUUGAAAUAUAAAUAAAUAGGAAGUAAAGGAAGGUGAUAAGAAUCAACUAUGUUUCAGGGAUCAGCUGCAGUGCCAGAAGCUAUAGUUUGUCCCACCAUCCUUCUUCAGCUUGUAAGUUUUUCCCAGGGAAAAGACUGACUAGAAUUCUGCACGAGUUCUUCCCACAUAAGGUAAAUUUAUUAUAUGAAGCAAAUGUAUUCCAGCAGCGCAAGAGAUGGAUUGUAGUGGCUGCUGUGUUUUCCUCUCCAGACUGUUCUUGAGAACCAGGAGCACCAACCUCUUCCAUCUGAGUCCAACCCUAGGACCAGCUAUUGGAGAAAGAAAACCAACUCACCUGACUACACUUCUACCAUGGAAGAGACCUACAUCCCAUGACCAAUCAAUGUGCCAUUUCAGAGAACAUCUUUAACAGUAUGAACAUGUAUCUGACCUCUCACAAAGAUCUGCUGGGGGGAAGAGAGAGAGGAAGAGGUUAAGAAUGCAUCUGGAAGUUUAAGCGAAAAGUUUACAGGAUUCCACCAUGAAGUUUGAGUGAGAGUGACUAAGAACGCUCAUGUUCUCAGAUCCGGGAACGUUUGUAUUUGCACUAAUCCAUGUCCUUUUUGUUAUAAAUAAUUGCAGAAGUUCAUUUAUAGAUGAGCUCCAUCACUAAGCAACACGCAUUGUACAUUUGUGUUUGUUGGUGUUUUAAAUUCACCGUGUUUUAUAAUGUCAAGUACAGUCAAUUUAUAAUUGAAACAAAAUUUUUGAAGUACCCUGUACUUGGGCAGGGUAGAAAAACACAGGGUACUAUUUAUCAUAGUUAUGUCUCCUUGACUUUAAAAUUUUUCUUUGUUAGGAAUGUAAUAUCCUCCUAUGUUGUAUCAUAUCACAUUUAAUUUUGACUGCAAAGACACUAAGGCAUGAUUUUUUUUAAUCUUUCAUCUAUUUAAAAAUAUAUGCUUGUUAAUGUUCUCAUUAUUUUCUUUUUCUGUGGUUAGCUUGAGAAAAGACACAUAGCCAUCUUUUAAAAUUCAUUCUUUCCUUUAUACACUUUAAAAAAGGAAUUUACAAGGGUCAAAUAGCUUAGUCAUAGGGAGGAACAUUUUUUUACACAGUUAUAAUGCAAACAAAACCUAUUGUCCUUAUUGCAUGGAAGAAGAACCUGUGAACUCAGUAAUUUUCUUUCUCUUUACAUUUCCACUACUGAAAGACAUGAAUGGAAACAUUAAACCCUGACUUAUGUUUUCCUUUAUCUGAUGGUGGAACCCCGGGAUGGAAAACCUGGGAAUGGUCAGUCGCCAUGUUUCCUACCAUGUGGAAAGGUGUAGUAAGAAGGAAUGAGACCCACUCAUACUGAGAAGCAGAGAUAAGAGAUGGAGAAGGUUAAUGGUGGUUUUAGGGUUCCUGAAGACCAGUUACAUGUCUACUCCUUUCGUUAUUUAGUUGCUCAAAUCUUCCUGAUUUCAUGAAAUAAAAAUACCCAUUUUUUGCUAAAUUAUUAUAUCAGCCAUACAUAGCUUGAGUUAGCUUAAGUACAAAGAGGGAAUUAAGGAAAGAUCCUGAGGCAGCUGACAGUACAAAAGGGAGAGCUGAUCAAUUAAUCUUCAUGAAGGUAGGAGCAGACUCUCUAGGAGGGACUCGGAGUGGGCCAGGAGGUGGGUACCAUUAGGACUCAGUUUUCCCUCAUGUGACCCCUGAACCUCCUCUGCCUGGGCAUCAUGCCCUCUGUGGAGGAAUAUUUUGAUAUAUUACUUGCUGUGUUUUCCCCAGUACUUUUCAUUUAUUUAUACUCUAACAACUCUUCCAUUCGUGGGCAUUUUUGUGUCCCUUGUCACAGGAGAUGUGA